CCUACGGGAGGCAGCAGUGGGGAAUUUUGGACAAUGGGCGAAAGCCUGAUCCAGCAAUGCCGCGUGAGUGAAGAAGGCCUUCGGGUUGUAAAGCUCUUUUGUCAGGGAAGAAACGGUGAAAGCUAAUAUCUUUUGCUAAUGACGGUACCUGAAGAAUAAGCACCGGCUAACUACGUGCCAGCAGCCGCGGUAAUACGUAGGGUGCAAGCGUUAAUCGGAAUUACUGGGCGUAAAGCGUGCGCAGGCGGUUUUGUAAGUCUGAUGUGAAAUCCCCGGGCUCAACCUGGGAAUUGCAUUGGAGACUGCAAGGCUAGAAUCUGGCAGAGGGGGGUAGAAUUCCACGUGUAGCAGUGAAAUGCGUAGAUAUGUGGAGGAACACCGAUGGCGAAGGCAGCCCCCUGGGUCAAGAUUGACGCUCAUGCACGAAAGCGUGGGGAGCAAACAGGAUUAGAUACCCUGGUAGUCCACGCCCUAAACGAUGUCUACUAGUUGUCGGGUCUUAAUUGACUUGGUAACGCAGCUAACGCGUGAAGUAGACCGCCUGGGGAGUACGGUCGCAAGAUUAAAAACUCAAAAUGAAAUUGACGG
rnacentral:rRNA from 1 species